UACGUAGGGUGCAGGCGUUAAUCGGAAUUACUGGGCGUAAAGCGCACGCAGGCGGUCUGUCAAGUCGGAUGUGAAAUCCCCGGGCUCAACCUGGGAACUGCAUUCGAAACUGGCAGGCUAGAGUCUUGUAGAGGGGGGUAGAAUUCCAGGUGUAGCGGUGAAAUGCGUAGAGAUCUGGAGGAAUACCGGUGGCGAAGGCGGCCCCCUGGACAAAGACUGACGCUCAGGUGCGAAAGCGUGGGGAGCAAACAGG
rnacentral:rRNA from 1 species